AAGCCGCCUGUAUUAGAUAUGCACUUUUUAGUCCAUGACUUCUAUCUAUUCAACUUGCUGCUCUUUUUUAAAAGGUCCUUCAGAUGCUGUCACUGCCAGCUUUUAAGAGAGACACAGAAAGAGAGAGAGAGAGAAGAAGAGAGAGAGAGAGAAACAUUUUAUUUAUUCAAACAUGCCACUGAAUAUGUAAUAUUACUCCAUCCAGGCACCAGUUGAAAUGUGUUGAUUUUACAGCUUGGGAGAGGUAAGAUGAGGGCCAGUGAGUAAGGGCUAUAUGAAUAACACUUGAUUGGGAUGCAGGGAAUGUAGCAAAUGAUGUUGUGCCCACAAAAUAUUCUCUUUCCAAUUGUACGCAUCCCAGCCUCCCAUUUGGGAAAGAGGAAAAACAUGGACACCAACCAGCUUCAUCAACAAAGUCCUUUCCCUUUAAACCUCUCAAAUCCUGCAUUUCUCGUCAGCCAAUUCUUUAAACAACAAUAAAAAAAAAAUAGAUACCUCA